CUCCCAAGGCAUAGAAUUACUGAGUUAGAAGAAAUAACUGGUUUAUUUUUACAUAGGAUGUGAUGUCUAAUAUUGGACUAAAAAUGAGGAUGCUUAUGCUAUACUCCAUUGGUACUAUCCACUGGAUUUAUUUAUUUAUUUUUUGAGACGGAGUCUCACUCUGUCACCCAGGCUGGAGCGCAGUGGUGCGAACUUGGCUCACUGCAAGUUCUGCCUCCUGGGUUCACACCAUUCUCCUGCCUCAGCCUCCAGAGUAGCUGGGACUACAGGUGCCCGCCAUCACACCUGGCUAAUUUUUUUUGUAUUUUUUAGUAGAGACGGGGGUUUCACCGUGUUGGCCAGGAUGGUCUCGAUCUUCUGACCUCAUGAUCUGCCUGCCUCGGCCUCCCAAAGUGCUGGGGGAUUGUAGGCGUGAGCUACCACACCUGGCUGUUUUUGUAUUUAGAUAGAGUUUAAGUGCAAAAUAAUCUGCUGAUUUAAGACUGUUUUAAAUUCAUAUCUGAGGAAUAAAGGAUGGACAGGCAAUUUCCAUCCCUUUGAUGUUCCAUAAUUCUAGCUAUUUAUAUCAUUCAUUUGCCCCUUCAGCAUGUAUUGGCUUACACCUGUAAUACAUUCCAGAAUAGCUGGAUUUCUUUUGUUUUCCCAUCGGUGAUUUUCAUAGAGUAGAUGCUCAAUGACAUAUAAUGAAGAAAGGCCAAAAAUAGAGGUAAGUAAAGCUAUGAAAGAAAAGGAGAACGAAAGAGGAAGCAGAGUAGUUUGAUUUUGUUUAUUGCUGCUUAAACCAGAGAGAUAUGUUGUUCUGGAAGGAUGAUUUGCUUGUUUUUACACACAUGCAGCCUGACUCUUUUAGGCUUGGCUUAUUUCUUUUUUGUUUGUUUGUUUGAGAUAGAGUGUCGCUCUUGUUGUCCAGGCUGGAGUGCAGUGGCACGAUCUCAGCUCACUGCAACCUCUGUCUCCUGGGUUCAAGCGAUUCUCCUGCCUCGGCCUCACCAGUAGCUGGGAUUACAGGUGCUCGCCACCACACCCGGCUAAUUUUUACAUUUUUAGUAGAGGCGGGGUUUCGCCAUGUUAGCCAGGCUGGUCUUGAACUCCUGGCCUCAGGUGAUCCACCCACUGCAGCCUCCCAAAGUGCUGGGAUUACAGGUGUGAGCCAUGGUACCCGGCUGGCUUAUUUCUCUUAGGCUUUGGGCCAUUGCUAAUUUUCCAGCUGAUAUAUAAUACAAUCCAGCUUUAUUCAAAAGAUAAGUAUUCUAACUCUUGUUCAGUGUUUAUUCAAAUUUGUGUUUGCAUGUAUUUGUUUGGACUAUAAGUUUUGAGACUAUAGUGAGUGUUGUUUUUGACUAUAAUAUUUUAAAUAGAAUAUGAAAUUUAAAUUAGUGUUUGCUUGUUUCUUUUUACAAUAAAAUAGGUAGCUUUGCAGUUUGGGGAGGGCUGUUUUCCAUGAUUGACUGUAGUAUGGUUCAAGUCAGAGGAAAGGAAGAUCCCUGGAACUCCAUCACAAGUGGUGCCUUAACGGGAGCCAUAUUGGCAGCAAGAAAUGGACCAGUGGCCAUGGUUGGGUCAGCCGCAAUGGGUGGCAUUCUCCUAGCUUUAAUUGAAGGAGCUGGUAUCUUGUUGACAAGAUUUGCCUCUGCACAGUUUCCCAAUGGACCUCAAUUUGCAGAUGACCCCUCCCAGUUGCCUUCAACUCAGUUACCUUCCUCACCUUUUGGAGACUAUCGACAAUAUCAGUAGGACUUCUUUCCUAGGAUUUCUUUAACAGAACGAGUUGUAGUUCGAGAAGGAUUUCAGAAGAUCAAGUUACAGUCUGUUUGUAAAACCAUAGGUGGGACAGCUAUGGCCAAUAGGCUAUAAAGAGACAUUUAGCACUUUUUUCUAUUUAAAGGAACAAGCGGGGAGGGGUGCUAAAAGAUAAUACGUUUAUUUAUUCACACUUGAAUUGCAUUUGUGAUCAAAAUAAAUGUUUAAAUCGCUAAAGGAAAAUACAGUAAGUGCUUGAAAGAUGAAGGACCAAAGGGCCAAAAAACAGUGAAAUAUGAUCAUCAUCUCCUUGGGGACUUCUCUGCCUGGUUUUCUGUGUUCUGUUAUUCAAACAAUAAAAAGCUGGUGGAACUUACUCUUUCUUUUAAGAUAAGUUGUAGACUUCGACGUUUCAUGCUUAUGUACUUCAAAUAAUGCAUGUUUUAUAGUUAGUCCCUCAUCACUUGAAGUGACUUCUGAGAAUUAUGCAGAGUCAACAUGGAUCAUUUCACAGUGAGAUGCUUUACGGAUUGAAGGAUAUGGUAAAAUAUUUAUACUUUUACUUUGAAAGUAAAAUAUACUAUGUCUUGGUUUUGAGGAUAUUGGAUACAAAACUCUCUUCCUUUAGGGCCACUGAGUCUUGAUUCCUGAUCAUCAGAAAUUUCACCAGAAACAACUUGCUUCCAAUAUACCCAAUUCUAUAUGAAGAAUUCAUGGAGAGUGUACUGUCACUGGAAGAGUUUAGUGUUUCUUGUAUGCUUGAAAAUAAAGUAUGUACUGUUUUGAAUGUGU
rnacentral:sRNA from 1 species